CAAAUUACAUACGCUUCUGCCUGCUGGCCCAGCUAAGGUCCUUGAUAUUUAUUUUUCAUACACAAGUAACAACGGCUCAAGUCUGAACUGAACUGGUUUGUCGGAAAAAGCUGGUAAUUUAUUCGCUUAAACCUUAAAAAACAUAUGUUGAUCACAAAAAAAAAAAACCUUAAAAACAUACAUAAAUAUUCUAGUUGAUAUUAAUUGAUAAUAUAUCAUUUAAUUCCAAAUUAUUAACAACAGUUUAACGAAAAAGUCAAACGUUUGGUUUUAUAUCACGAUCUUGAUUUGAUUUAGGUCAUGAUUCACGCCGUCACCGUCGUUGUCGCAUAGAUCGGAGACCAAAACGGAGAUGGAGAGGAAGGCAGGAGUGACGAGGAAGAUGAGUCCCACAGGAACCAUCCAAAGAUUAGAAUUUGUGGGAUGGUAUUUGUAAACCCAAUAUGUUAGAAAUAAUCCUGCGAAUAUAACCACGAUCACUGAGUAUAAUAAGAACACCAUUGACGACAUACUCUUCUUCUUCUCCUUCCAAGUCUUCUCAUCUGUCUUCUUCAUAUUCGUGUUUCAUUUUCUAGGUGAAGUGAAAGGAAAGAGGUGAGAUGACGAUAGCUGUAAUAUUUUAUAGAGUGUAUAAGUAUAUAUAUACAGUCGUGUUUCAGUUCGUGUAUGCUGGUUUAGAAAAUUAUAAUUUCAAAAUCGGACCCGAUGAUCAUAUGGUUUGCGUCAAUUUUUCUUUGGCUCUAUUUUUUAUUUCUUCUUUUCUUUGUUUUAGUAAAUGUUACCUAAAACUCGAUUGGAUAUUUACACCUAUUUUUGAGGCAG
rnacentral:lncRNA from 1 species